UACGGAGGGUGCAAGCGUUAUCCGGAUUUACUGGGUUUAAAGGGUGUGUAGGCGGACUAUUAAGUCAGCGGUGAAAUCUCCGGGCUCAACCCGGAAACUGCCAUUGAUACUAUUAGUCUUGAAUAUUGUUGAGGUGGGCGGAACGGGUCAUGUAGCGGUGAAAUGCAUAGAUAUGACCCGGAACACCGAUUGCGAAGGCAGCCCACUAAGCAAUGAUUGACGCUGAGGCACGAAAGCGUGGGGAUCAAACAGG
rnacentral:rRNA from 1 species